rnacentral:rRNA from 1 species
CGUGUAGGCGGUUUAUUAAGUCAGAUGUGAAAGCCCACGGCUUAACCGUGGAACUGCAUUUGAAACUGAUAGACUUGAGUAUGAGAAGGGGUAGUGGAAUUCCCAGUGUAGCGGUGAAAUGCGUAGAUAUUGGGAAGAACACCAGUAGCGAAGGCGACUACCUGGCUCAUUACUGACGCUAAUGCGCGAAAGCGCGGGGAGCAAACA